UGGCGACCGGCGCACGGGUGAGUAACGCGUAUGCAACUUACCUAUCAGAGGGGGAUAACCCGGCGAAAGUCGGACUAAUACCGCAUGAAGCAGGGGCCCCGCAUGGGGAUAUUUGCUAAAGAUUCAUCGCUGAUAGAUAGGCAUGCGUUCCAUUAGGCAGUUGGCGGGGUAACGGCCCACCAAACCGACGAUGGAUAGGGGUUCUGAGAGGAAGGUCCCCCACAUUUGUACUGAGACACGGACCAAACUCCUACGGGAGGCAGCAGUGAGGAAUAUUGGUCAAUGGCCGAGAGGCUGAACCAGCCAAGUCGCGUGAGGGAUGAAGGUUCUAUGGAUCGUAAGCCUCUUUUAUAAGGGAAUAAAGUGCGGGACGUGUCCCGUUUGUAUGUACCUAUGAUAGAUGGUA
rnacentral:rRNA from 1 species